rnacentral:lncRNA from 1 species
GAAGCGAGGCCAGCUGCAGCAGCAGAAGAUGGACAGAGACCUGAAGCAGGUGAGGGCUGCUGGGCCUCACCCUAACGGCCUCCCUCCGUGGAAUGUCCGUUUCCUGGGACUCUUUGCUCCCGUCACAGCAUUCUCUCUACUCUGUCGGUUCCCGUUUCCGGGACAAGGUUCUCUGUAUGCCACCCUGGGGCAACUGCUUAGGCAAGACUGUUGCAGGCUCAGAGUCCCGGUGUCCUGGGGACAUGUUUACCUCUGAACUGGGGUCUUCUAGAGAGCUAUGAGCUAUACCUUGGAAGAGAAGCAAGCCUGUGAAAGCUGUAAUAAGAGAUUUUUAGUCCACCGUGUCCAGAAAUAUAAAGUCAAACAUGAAAAGCAAAA